rnacentral:rRNA from 1 species
UACGUAGGGUGCGAGCGUUAAUCGGAAUUACUGGGCGUAAAGCGUGCGCAGGCGGUUUGCCAAGUCAGGUGUGAAAUCCCCGGGCUCAACCUGGGAAUUGCGCUUGAAACUAGCGAGCUUGAGUGUGGCAGAGGGGGGUGGAAUUCCACGUGUAGCAGUGAAAUGCGUAGAUAUGUGGAGGAACACCGAUGGCGAAGGCAGCCCCCUGGGCCGAUACUGACGCUCAGGCACGAAAGCGUGGGGAGCAAACAGG